CCGCUCCUCUACUCCUUAUACGCCGUCCUGGUGCAUGGAGGUGGCAGCUGCCGUGCAGGACACUACUUCUGCUACAUAAAGGCCAGUGAUGGACUGUGGUACCACAUGGACGACAAGUCUGUGGAUCUUUGCGACAGUGACACAGUCCUCAGGCAGCAAGCCUAUUUACUGUUUUACAUCAGGUGCUCUGAUUUGGAAGUUGGACAAAGGGCUUCUUCCUCACCAGCACCAUCAGAAGCCCGUUCCCUCCUCAGUCAGUGGGCGGCCGGCAGCAAGCAGGUGCGUUCUGUGGGACAGCAGCAUCUGCCCCAUAGGACUAAGGCGGCUGUGG